rnacentral:misc_RNA from 1 species
AAGUCGUAACAAGGUUUCCGUAGGUGAACCUGCGGAAGGAUCAUUAAUGAAAUGAUGAUUUUUUUGGGGUUUCCCAAAAAAUAAUUCACCACUUGUGCAUUGUUAUUAGAUAUACUUUGGUUAGAGCUUUGAUUUCAUUUAUUGGAAUCAACUUCUUGCUGACUCUAUCCUUUCUGAGGACAGUUGGCUAUGAAGCGGCCUACCAAGGUUUUUUAUCAAACACAUUUAAUUCAUCUGACCUAAACUAUUAUAAUAAAAUCAUAACUUUCAACAACGGAUCUCUUGGCUCUC